GACGAACGCUGGCGGCGUGCUUAACACAUGCAAGUCGAACGGAAAGGCCCUGCUUUUGUGGGGUGCUCGAGUGGCGAACGGGUGAGUAACACGUGAGUAACCUGCCCUUGACUUUGGGAUAACUUCAGGAAACUGGGGCUAAUACCGGAUAGGAGCUCCUGCUGCAUGGUGGGUGUUGGAAAGUUUCGGCGGUUGGGGAUGGACUCGCGGCUUAUCAGCUUGUUGGUGGGGUAGUGGCUUACCAAGGCUUUGACGGGUAGCCGGCCUGAGAGUGUGACCGGCCACAUUGGGACUGAGAUACGGCCCAGACUCAUACGGGAGGCAGCAGUGGGGAAUAUUGCACAAUGGGCGGAAGCCUGAUGCAGCAACGCCGCGUGCGGGAUGACGGCCUUCGGGUUGUAAACCGCUUUCGCCUGUGACGAAGCGUGAGUGACGGUAAUGGGUAAAGAAGCACCGGCUAACUACGUG
rnacentral:rRNA from 1 species